GUUUCUUGCUCAGAAAUCGUGUGACUGUGAUGCAAGCAAAUUGUCAAAUAUUGGACUGAAAAACGUUUGUCCAAUCAAAUUCGAGUAUGCAACAGAAAUAAAGAGAGGAGGAGGAAAAAUGCUAUGUUGUGUUUCCUACCAGGCAAUGUGUAACAUUCGCAAAGUGCGACAGAAAAAGGAAUUGCUCGAAGAGAAACCAAACUAACAAGUUGAAAAGUGCUUGUUUGGCUGACCGAUUCCGUUACUUCAACGUGUGGAUAUUCUGUCCGGACAAGCAUACAUUUGAAUAUGUAUCCGUGCUGUUACCUCAGUGCUGUUCCUGCAGAGAGUACAAGCUCUGCUAGCCAUAAAUGGAGCAGCAUAGAAUCCAUUGUUCUAAGGCUGAACAUAUGUAACU